CACGGGGGGAGCAAGCGUUGUUCGGAAUCACUGGGCGUAAAGGGCGUGUAGGCGGUCAUGUAAGUGGAAUGUGAAAUCCCUCGGCUUACCCGAGGACCUGCAUCCCAAACUGCAUGACUUGAGUACGGGAGAGGAUGAGGGAAUUCCUGGUGUAGCGGUGAAAUGCGUAGAUAUCAGGAGGAACACCGGUGGCGAAGGCGCUCAUCUGGCCCGGUAUUGACGCUGAGGCGCGAAAGCCAGGGGAGCAAACGGG
rnacentral:rRNA from 1 species